rnacentral:rRNA from 1 species
UACGGGGGGGGCAAGCGUUGUUCGGAAUUACUGGGCGUAAAGGGCUCGUAGGCGGCUUGUCACGUCGAUUGUGAAAGCCCGAGGCUUAACCUCGGGUCUGCAGUCGAUACGGGCUAGCUAGAGUGUGGUAGGGGAGAUCGGAAUUCCUGGUGUAGCGGUGAAAUGCGCAGAUAUCAGGAGGAACACCGGUGGCGAAGGCGGCACUCUGGGCCGGUACUGACGCUGAGGAGCGAAAGCGUGGGGAGCGAACAGG